AGGAUAGUAGUUAAUUAUAACACUUGGGUUGCAUCCAAAAAGUGUUGGGAAUAAACCAACCUAUCUUA
rnacentral:tRNA from 1 species